UCCACUUAAUUAAAGCACUGGAAGGCAGUGGGUGAGCAACUCUCUGGGAGGAAGGCUGGGGUUCUUAUCUCACCAGGGCUUUAGUCAAGAGAAACAGCAGCAGGCAAACAGCUCUGGCCUCUUGGGAGCAUGGGUGUCUCAGUCAAGUUUGGUGGACGAGAAAAAAGAGAAAGACGAUCCUCCUUCGAGUCUCAAGUUUGUUGACUCCUGGAUGCAAAGAGGCUGUUGCGGGUCCAGGCACCAUGCAUUUACGCAAAAUAAGAAAGAGUAUAACCGGUGGCUUCACUCCUGUUUCAUCUCACCAGGAAAGCAAAAAUUUCCCUUGAAGUCCAAGAAAACUCUUUAUUUCCUUGGCCAAAAUUGUCCUGCAGUUACCCAGGAAGUACAAAGAGACUGGGAAUGUAAGGGUUGGGAAACAUUGCUAAUCUAAUUCAAAUUGGAGUCCAUAAGAGAGACAGAGGCGAUGGCUACCAGGUAAGCAGAGGAUAGAGCAUCCUGGGGGUGUUUUCAACUACAGACUGCUACAGCCAUCUAGUAAAGAAAACUAAAGCUACUUCAGGCAAACUAAACAGAAGAAAUUUGAUGCAGCAAUUUGUUAUCAGGCUGGGAAGUAUCAGGGUCGCUGUUUUCCUGCUCAGUUGGUAUAUGUGCUGCCACCAAGAUUCAAGAAGCCAGAAGCCUGUGAUAUCACCGCCCCUGUAUGAGCCAUCUUCCAGACAGCACAGUGGGUCAGAAUGGUGUGGAAGUGUGAAGGUCAACCUCGUGAAGGAAGGUGUGGGAUGGAGAGCGAAGUGCCACAGACUCUCGUGACUUGUGGAAGAGUCCUGACACCAAACUAGAUCUAAGAUGGUUUCUGGAGCACAGGCACGCCACUCUCUGUCAGAGACCUGAUUGCAGCUCAUUAAAGCAGUGAGGAAGGGGACUGCCAUUAGAACCAGGAGGCAGGACUUUGUUCAGCUUGUCUCUUGACUUGGAGCCCACAGCUACCUAAGACUCAUAGUAUGAAGCCCGUGAGUGGCCUGGAGGUGAGUGGGAGAGGGGGCCUUUUGUCUGUCUGUCUGUCUGUCUGUCUGUUUCUCUGCCCUCACUCAGCACUUUCUGCCUCACCACUCCCUUUCCUCUCCUCCUCCCCCAACUCCAACAUCAAGAUCUGAUUAUAUAAGGUAGGGUCAGAGAGACAUGGCCUCUGAUUUCUUCAUAAGUAUAGACAAGGUUUAUGAAGAGGGAUUGGCUUAUGCAGCCAUGGACGUUUGCAAGCCCAGAGAUCUGCAGGGUGAGUCAGCACACUGGAGACCCAGGACAGCUGUCAUUCUAGCCUACAAUAGGAUGGCAGGAAAAUUCCCCCCAAACUCACAAGAGGGUCAGCUCUUUGUUUUCUUCAGAUCCUCCUCCCUUAGCUUGUAUAGGUCCACGACACACUGGGGAGCAAUCGGCCUCAUACUGAAACAUCUACAGAGACAUCCACACCCCCCCAAAAAAAUAUAUGACCAAGCACCAGAGAAGCUAUAGGCUAGUCAUUACUUACAAUCAAUUGUCACAACAGACAUUGGGCACUGCCAGGGGUGGCCAUGGGCUGUAGAAAUGUUAUCAUGAACACAGCGAGAUACCUGUGUCCCUGAGCUGGCUGCUAAGACAUGAAAUCUGAGGCAUGGACAGGCCUUCCAAUCGCCUGUCAACCUCCCAUUGCCUUUUCUGUAUUUUCCUCUCCAGCUUGUAUCUAAACACAUCUCCCAACCCUUCUCCAUCACCCCUUGUCUGCUGUGAACUGCUGAUUUUGUCCUAGGAUUUCAUAGCUCAGGACAUUUGUAUGUGCUGUUUUCUCUGCCUUGGACGACCUUACCUCCAUUCUGUGUCUGGAAAUGUCUAUUUGCCUUUUCAAGCCUCAACUGAAAUGUUAUUAUGGAAGUUAAUAAUUCGGAAACAAGGAGGACUGUGAGAUUGUGAAUGGCGCUUAAACUGUCUGACUGUUUGAUAUAACCAGUGGUAGCAUUCGUAUUUGUAUCAACUCAUUUCUUUGGCCAGCAAAUGAACACUUUUAAAGACACCAAGCAUAUGUCAGGCUCUGGAGUAAGUGCUGAGAUACAGGAAACCAAACAAGGUCUGUGGAGUAUGUAUUUCAAGAGGAGACACACAGAGAUCCAAAUCAGAUAAAUACACAUACACACACACACACACACAGAGAGAGAGAGAGAGAGAGAGAGAGAGAGAGAGAGAGAGAGAGGAUAAAACUGACAGCCUUUUAAAAGGAGCAUUUAUACAUUUAGCUGAGGCGGGACUGAUGACAAGAAAGACCCAUGUCCAUAGAAAUUAGGGGGAGGUCAUUCAGGGAGAGCAAAUGGCAGAGCAGAGACUGUGAGUCUAUGAAGAGCUCGGGGAAUCUGAGGGACAGUGGGAAGGCACAGGGGCUGGAGAGAGUUGGGAGAACAAUGGAACAAAGCAAGGGCCAGCCAGGGAGGAGACCCUGGCUUGGAGCUGUUGCCCCUGCCAUCCUGGGUACACAUAAUUCUUGUCCUCUUGUGUAUAGUCUAGCUUUAUAGCUGUCUGAGGCUUCCUGAGGAAGGCUGGACUGUCUACUUCAGAAGCAGAGUAGGCUUGUUCCUGGAUGGCAGUCUGGAAAGUUUGCUGAAAAGCUUAUCACAACCCUGUACCUCAUGAGACCUAUGGGCCCCUUGAGGAUGGGAAUCCCAUCCAUUUCUUCAUCCUUGCAUCGCCAACUCCCAUCCCAGACAGAGGCAUAGUGGGCACUCCUUACCAUGAGUAAAUCUUGCUCCUUCAUGGGUUUAGGUUAAGCUUUACCUCUUGAGGUGCACAUGGGAGAGGGGACAGGCACGAAGGCUGAGGGCACAGAAAACUGUGAAGUUCCCAAUAGUUAUAACAAGUUAUGUACUAUACUGUUCCCUGACUGCAGAGGCUGUCUGUGUGUCUGCUUUGGGGGCUCGUCUGUCCUGCUGUUCCAAGAUUAACCCUUUCCCCAAUAUGGUCUGCUUAGCUAUAACCUGUUUUAUUUAUGUGUGCGUGUGACUGGUCUCAUUUGAAGGGAACCUAGCCUUAGGUUCCUUCAGUACAUUUCUUUUCAAAUGAUUCACUUAUAUGAGACAUUGUCUUUGCUUCCGCCUUAACCUACUCUUCUAAACUGUUUCUGGAAAACACAGCCACAACUUUGGUUUGUUUCACAGAUCAUUUAAACAACAACAACAGCAACAGGGGGAAAUUUAGUCUCCUUUUAGCCUGACCGUCCAGCAAAUUACAGAAGAGUGGUUUGCUGUGGUUUGGCGUUUGUUCUUUAGGUCCCUGGUGGAGGCACAGAUGUUGGAAAAAAUGGUAGGGAGUGGGGAGGUCCCCCAGUAAGUGGGGAGGGAAGAGGGUUCUGACUGAGAGGAGACAGGUGGCUUAACAGGAAAGAGAGCAUCAAAGAGGAAGCAGCAAGGAGCAGGCAGGAGAAGCUUGCUGCUAUCAAGCCCUCAGGGCCGAAGAUCAGGGAAAACAUAAACAACAAACAAACAAAUGAUUACCCAUGGUUGCCAAGGCUGUAAAUGAGCUGUUAGGACCUUGGUGUUGUCUAGGGCUAUAUUUUAUUUAUCACCCCACGUUUUUUUCAAGGGAGGCUUCUGGGACCUCUUAUGGACGUCACCAGCUGCUAGAGAACUAAGGGGAUGGUUGAUCUCAUUGGAUGACCUGAUGCCACUGGUCAAGUGAGCACCCUGGACAUCUGGAAUGUUCCCAAGAUCCCCCAGGUGGUUCUGAAAUGCAGCCAACUUUCCAGGCCACUGAGUUUAACGAUGUAGAAAAAUAGAGCACAAAAAGGCGAAAUAGAAUUAGUAGUAAAUGAACGAGGACAGUAAGACAGUAAGA